GGGGAAUAUUGGACAAUGGGCGAAAGCCUGAUCCAGCCAUGCCGCGUGAGUGAUGAAGGCCCUAGGGUUGUAAAGCUCUUUUACCUGGGAAGAUAAUGACUGUACCAGGAGAAUAAGCCCCGGCUAACUUCGUGCCAGCAGCCGCGGUAAUACGAAGGGGGCUAGCGUUGUUCGGAAUCACUGGGCGUAAAGCGCACGUAGGCGGAUUUUUAAGUCAGGGGUGAAAUCCCGGGGCUCAACCUCGGAACUGCCUUUGAUACUGGAGAUCUUGAGUCCGGGAGAGGUGAGUGGAACUGCGAGUGUAGAGGUGAAAUUCGUAGAUAUUCGCAAGAACACCAGUGGCGAAGGCGGCUCACUGGCCCGGUACUGACGCUGAGGUGCGAAAGCGUGGGGAGCAAAC
rnacentral:rRNA from 1 species